CAGUCCCUCCAAAUCACUAAGUCCUCCGUGUUCUUACCAUUUGUACGUUUGUGCUAGAAAGUGAAAAAUCUGUAGUGAUGUACGAUGGAACAGACUCCAAAGAAUGAAUGAAAUUCUCUCAUUUUACACUUGCAAAAGACAAAAGGAAAAUGCAUUUGUGGGCUUUUGUGCAUCUGACACCCCAGGGAGCGAGGAGAAAGCAGGCCACCCGCCCCCGAGCACUACACCUCCUGUGACACCUGUGACAACAGCUUCUGGAAACAGAAAUACAGAUCACCAACCCGAGGAUGAUGUUGGGGCGCGGUGACUCAAGACCUGAAAAACAAAACAUUCGUGCAGAGUUCAGAAUUUAACGUCGGCCUUUAUUCUCCAGACGUAAACCCUGUCAAGGGCAGUGAUGGGGCACGUUUCAAUAGGAAGGAGGAAGAAACUCGCUGGCAAAACACAAUCGAGUGUUUGAACAGCUUAUUGCAAACAAAAGACCCCGGGGCACACCGUCACCUCCGCCGUCCAGCCCCCACGUCACAGCCACAGAACCCAGGGCCCAGUUCAUGAGUCAAGUCAUCCCAAUGAGCAGAGCCUACGUUACAGAUUUAAAGAUCAGAUGUAAUUAAAGCAAUGGCAUGACGGAGGAGGCCGGAGACGCCAGCGUGCAAACAUCAGCAUCUGCUGACCUAUAAGAGAUGAAGCAUGUACGCACCAGAACUUUUUUUUUUUUUUUUAAACAAAAUCUUAGCUUUGUUCUUUUACUUGCCUCUCACUACACAUCAGAAAGGUAACAGCCCUUCCUGGAACUCACGCACUGCGCUACAUAAUUCAAGCUACACGUACGAGUACCGAAGGUUCCAUCAGGGAGCAGUUCCACGGCUUGUUUGCAACGAUCCCCUCAGCACGUGCCAUUAGGGAAGGUCACCCAGCUGCUGGCGUCACAGUUACAGUUAAUGGGAAAGACCAAGCUGAAUGAAAGGGCUAUGAUAAACACCCUUGUAGGUUUUAUUAGGGAAUUCCGUUAACAUCAACAAGGGCCAAGUCCUGCUCAGUCUCUGUGAACACGGGACAGGGUGCUUAAAGACAAGGGCGGGGUGUUCCGUGAAGAGCAGGCCGCAUGGAAAAGUUCCUGGGCACAGGAUGGUUCUUAAAAAUACCCAUUUCUUAAAUAAAAAAGGCUUACUCCGUCCUAAACUGUGCGUUUUAUCAAGGGUGUUAAUAGUUCGGUAACCACACUCACAAUAAGUCCAGAAUACCAAAAGAGGGACGACAACAACAAAACCCUGCCACCCCAAGUCACAAAGCAGUAAUUUUAGGGACAAAUGACAUACAAAGAACAAAAACUUAUGUCACUAGCAUAUUUAAAAUCAGAUCGUAUAAACUCAACUGAUAACAUCACCGUAGAAUGUGGAUGUUUAUGCACGUGGUACGUAUACGUUCUCGACUUACUAAAAAUCAGUAGUUUCCCUAUUCCUUUUGGUUUUAAAGAUGAUCACAAGUCACUUGAAAUAGUUCUCUGUGGGUGCCAUCAUACAAUUCUCAAACGUCUGUUAACCUCCCUAAAUUCCGACAGAGAUGGGUUGAUAGGUUGAGCACUCGAGGGUUGGUGGAUGGCCCGU